GGAAUAUUGGACAAUGGGGGGAACCCUGAUCCAGCGACGCCUCGUGAGUGAAGAAGUAUUUCGGUAUGUAAAGCCCUAUCAGCAGGGAAGAAAGAAAUGACGGUACCUGACCAAGCAGCCCCGGCUAAUUACGUGCCAGCAGCCGCGGUAAUACGUAGGGGGCAAGCGUUAUCCGGAUUUACUGGGUGUAAAGGGAGCGUAGACGGUAAUGCAAGUCUGGAGUGAAAUGCAGGGGCUCAACCCCUGAACUGCUUUGGAAACUGUGCAGCUCGAGUGCAGGAGAGGUAAGCGGAAUUCCUAGUGUAGCGGUGAAAUGCGUAGAUAUUAGGAGGAACACCAGUGGCGAAGGCGGCUUACUGGACUGUAACUGACGUUGAGGCUCGAAAGCGUGGGGAGCA
rnacentral:rRNA from 1 species